GACUGGUACGAUCGCUUUUUAAAUCCUACUGUUCACUGAACUUGAGCUGUUUUUGUCAUCUAAUUUCGGUUUUGACAACUACACCUACAGAAGGACGUUUUUAAAUAUCAUUAUAAUUGAUAUUUUUCGUCGCCUCAAAAAAUGGCAGCAGCACAGAAUAGAAGACUUAUCAGCAAGGACACAAGCCUUCAGUGCCCCAUUUGCUACAAGUUUAUGGCGGAACCUAAAAUGC